AGCGAACGCUGGCGGCAGGCCUAACACAUGCAAGUCGAACGAAGUCUUCGGACUUAGUGGCGGACGGGUGAGUAACACGUGGGAACGUGCCUUUAGGUUCGGAAUAACUCAGGGAAACUUGUGCUAAUACCGAAUGUGCCCUUCGGGGGAUAGAUUUAUCGCCUUUAGAGCGGCCCGCGUCUGAUUAGCUAGUUGGUGAGGUAAAGGCUCACCAAGGCGACGAUCAGUAGCUGGUCUGAGAGGAUGAUCAGCCACAUUGGGACUGAGACACGGCCCAAACUCCUACGGGAGGCAGCAGUGGGGAAUCUUGCGCAAUGGGCGAAAGCCUGACGCAGCCAUGCCGCGUGAAUGAUGAAGGUCUUAGGAUUGUAAAAUUCUUUCACCGGGGACGAUAAUGACGGUACCCGGAGAAGAAGCCCCGGCUAACUUCGUGCCAGCCGCCGCAGUAA
rnacentral:rRNA from 1 species